rnacentral:rRNA from 1 species
AUGGUGUAUGGGCCAUUUUUUCCCGGACUCUCGUACCCGUUCACGGGUCCGUGUACGGGUCCGUGUACGCGGCGUGUGCCACGUACAUGGUUUUGCCCAGUUUUCCAUGGCGCGCGUCAACUUCCGUUCACGACGGCCGUCGGGCACUUUUUUCCCGUGUCCACGUACAGCCCGUUCACGGGUCCGUGUAAGGGUCCGUGUACACGGCGUGUGCCACGUACGUGGUUUUGCCCAGUUUUCCAUGGCGCGCGUCAACUUCCGUCCACGACGGCCGUCGGGCACUUUUUUCCCGUGUCCACGUACCGCCCGUUCACGGGUCCGUGUAAGGGUCCGUGUACGCGGCGUGUGCCACGUACGUGGUUUUGCCCAGUUUUCCAUGGCGCGCGUCCACUUCCGUCCACGACGGCCGUCGGGCACUUUUUUCCCGUGUCCACGUACAGCCCGUUCACGCCUCCGUGUAAGGGUCCGUGUACGCGGCGUGUGCCACGUACGUGGUUUUGCCCAGUUUUCCAUGGCCGCGUCAACUUCCGUCCACGACGGCCGUCGGGCACUUUUUUCCCGUGUCCACGUACAGCCCGUUCACGGGUCCGUGUAAGGGUCCGUGUACGCGGCGUGUGCCACGUACGUGGUUUUGCCCAGUUUUCCAUGGCGCACAUCCACUUCCGUCCACGACGGGCGUCGGCCAUUCUUUCCCGUGUCCCCAUAUAG